AAAGUCCUCUGAGACUACAAAGGACACUUGUUUCAGAUAAAACGUCUAGACAGUAGCAAUAUAUUUAGGGCUUUUAUUAUAGCAAAACUGCAAAUUAGAAUGGAGUGAGGAGAAAGUUCCUAUGACCCAGCUGAGUUCAAAAACACCACUUCUGACUAGGGUAAUAUGAUCUUCGAAACAGCAAAGCCCAAAUUAAAUCAAGGGGCAUCCAGAGAGAACAGGGAUGGGCCGGAGAAAAAGAAGAUAUGCAAGGUCGAGCUUCAGAAAGGAAAACAUGGAGGUGGAGUCAAAAUGGCGGCCUAGAAGGAGCAGAAGGUCAGACCUCUGAAUAACCUUCCUUACUGAUCACAAACUGAAUGCUCCUAGGGGACUGAAAAUCAAACCUAACAACAAGACAGAGUCAAGGAACCCUCCUGCUGGACUCAAUUCAAAAGGUACACCCCCCCAAAAGCCAGAAUCUGAGAACACUUGGGUUUAAGGGGAAGGCAGAAGGAAGGUCCCAGGACCCCUCCCCCCUGCCCACCUAGAGCGCUGAGACUCAGCGGCAGUGGGAACUUCUGGGUGGGCAAAGGUGCUGGUCUGGAGGGUGUACCUUGAGGGAAGGGAUGUGCCAAGCUCAGAGCAUCGAACACAGAUGGCAGGGAAGGAGGUAGAAAGAGAACACAGAGCUGGCAGCCAGGCCAGAGCUGUGGAGAUCCUCCAUAUUUGCUCAAGCCUUACAGGAGGUAUUGAACUCAGAGCACACCCAGCCCAAUCAAGCUGAACUUAAUCCCCUCAAAAGUCUUCAGAACUCAGGGAAGUCCAGGCUCCAUACCCCUCCCUCAUUGACUGCUGGACUUUAAUCAAAUCAAAAGCCUCCAGAGGACAGGGAAGCUCAACCCCCCAACAACCCUCUCCCAAAGACUGCACAGAGAGAUCUUCGGUCAAAGCUCAAAGAUGGGAGACUGACCGAAGCUCCAAAAUCCCAAAAAAAUUAGAGGAGGAAGAGCACAGACAAAUACAGGGAGUAAAGAAGGGGUGGAU
rnacentral:lncRNA from 1 species